GCCAUUCGUGUCGCUGCUCGCAGCCGUGGCCUCCUCCUCCCAACGGUCACUCGACAACAUCAGGCAGCACCCGCCGCAGACUGCCCACUCCUCGAUUUGGCUAUGUUGGUGAGAGAGCCCAACAGGUGUAUUCCCAACCAUAUCCCACCUUACGUGGCGAAAGCAGAGAUCAGAAUUAUCCUAUCGAGUAAUCCCAGCGGACAACCUCGCCGACCCCCGCAAUCGCUAGAAUCACGGCAAGGAGCAGGCUGACCCGUGCCACUGUAAAGCGAGGAGUUGUGCCGACCCCUUUUUCAACCGAGCUCAGCCAGCCACGCUCCCUUCCUGAUCUUCCAAAUUUCGCUUCAAUGCGGUCCAAAGAAAAGGUGAGAAAGAUAUGAGAUUCUUUUAUGCCGCAUCAUUGGAAGAUUUCAUCCAAAAUUUGUCGUGUGUUGUAGAAUUGUGAGUACCUAGCAUUUGAUAAGGUGAGAAUACUGUACUUUGUUUUCCUGGACAUGUCGUGUUCAGAAAUUUUGCCAUGGUAUUUUGGACAGAGUCCUCGCUGUUGUAGUUCAGUUAGAAACAAGCAACUACUUAUGCUUGCUUAACUCUUGGUUAAUCACAACAAUAACCUACAAAAGAAAUAAUUAGGUUACCAUGGGUUUCACGUUUUAUCCACUGAUUGUUGUGUUAGAGGAUGUUGACAGGCAAACAACGGUGAUAGCAAAAUAAUUCUUAGGAUAAUAUAGCGGAAGGAACAAAGAAUCAAGUACAGUACAAAGGUAAUGUUGUAUACUUCACGCUCUUAUGGCGAAAACACGGGGACCGAUUAAUUCAUCUACUCAUCAAGCCAUCAUAUUUCCAUUCAGUUUGAUGAGGCAUAUAGCGAUUUUAUACUAGAGAUUUUGAUCAAAAAGAAUUCAUUUUAUCUGUAGCGAUUGCAGUGUUCAUGUAUCACAUAGUAUAAAUCGAGAGUUGUUGGCAUUCUACAUUUUAAUAGAAUAUUUCAUAUUUCUUUUGGUUUUCUAAAUCCCAUUUGGCAAAAUUAGCAUAGCAUGUAUGGCCUUAUAUUAGCUAUCUUACCUUUGUUGCACCUUUUUUGGUAGAAAUCCAUGAUGGUUGAUUAAUGACACAUAUAAACAUCCACGUACUUCAAACAAUUGGCUUUUAACAUGUAUAUCCUGAAGAUGCAUCUAUAUCCCUGUUUUCCACCAUGGAUAGUUAAACACUGAGAAGUUUAUAUUGUGACAUAUAAUAAUGUAAGGAUUUUCUGUAAUUUGACGCCCUCAUACUGAGAGGUAUGCUAUUAUGAACUCCCUAUCAUAGCUACAGCCAGGAACUACAUUACCUGAGCACACAUGACAUGGAGCUAGCCAAAUUAGGUCUGUAGUGCAAGACAGCGUCGACGACAUUGAUGGUGCAAAAUCCGUCAUAUUUCUCCCAUCAAUUGUUUUGUUUUUGGUGGCUCUUAUCCAGUCACAGAAAAUAAAUGUAUGCUUGUUGCUCAUUAACAGGCUGGCAGACAAAGAAACUACAAAUAAUCAUCCUAGCUAGCUUCACCAUUAUUUGCAGCCUCAAGUCCAGCCACAGAAAAAAAUAUGCUUGCUACUAAUUUUUUAUAGUGAUUGUCUGCGGAAUGAAGGAAUGAUGGGCCGACAACAGUGUGUACAUCCAUGCUAUGCUCGGCAGUGGAGUCGAGGAUUUGACACAAUUUGGAUCGAAUUAAUUACUAUCUAUCCAACAAACUGUCUCUCCAAGGAUCUUGGUAAUUCUUACCUGGCAUCGAUUCUCUAUGCUUCAGAAAGUGGAAUGGAAUGACUAAUGCCUUGAGGUCUUAUUUAUUAUAAUUAUAGUCAAUGUAGUUCUAUUUAAAGAUUGUGGAUAUACUCUUUACGUAUGGUACAUUUAGUUUAUUCUCAAUACUUUUUUAGCAAUCAUUUUGGUUAAAGUAUCUAUACGCCUGCCAAACCCAUAGUGCAUCUGGGCUUAGUAUUGAGAAACAGUAUAAUGAGGCGAGCUACAAGCCACCACAGUGAUUUGAGUUAGUCAGCCCUUGGAUCCCACGAACGAACGCCCCAGAUCACCUGGUCGUCCCACUGUGCACCCAGUUUUUCUUCGCCCGUAACCUCCCCAUCACGCAGACCUCAAUGUCUCUGGGCCGCUGCUCCAGGGACUGCUGAGGACAACUUGUCAUAAAUCAGGCCAAGAAACUUCCACAUCACUAGCUUGGGCUUUCCGCCCCUAAGAAAAUCUCCUGGGCCUUCUUUGCCGCAUGAGCCUACAAGUGUGCCAUGCCUGCACGCUGCGGCUUCUCGAAGGGACGACCUUGUUUCAGCUUCUCUCUUUCCAUGCGAAAGCGGCAGUAACGUACAGCGCCCAGUUGCCGGUGGCUCUCGCCCCCCCCCCCCCAGCGUCCAUGACGUCCACUCUCUACAGUCGCGGUCACUCGCAUGUUUGAUCGAAUCACUCAACGACGGGCCGAGAAGAACAAGGUGUUGGUUUCUUCGAGUUGCAGCCUGUACAAAAAUUCAAAUUUGGUGAUUGAUUCAUAUUUUAGUUUUAUUAUUGCUCUGGCUGCAGCACAGUGUGCAACCACACUGUGUAUCCAAAGAAGCGCUUCGCCAAGAUUAAGUAUUCCAUUGGCAUGGUGCUUACACAUGACGAUAGCAUCAAGAUAUUCAUCACCCGCCUCAGAGGUGCUGAAGGUCAUUGAGGAGAGCUAUGUGCGGCUCUAAUUCGAUAAUUCAUCUUUCAUGAUGCAAAGAGUUCAAUCCCUUGAGAACGUGACUUAUUACCAUUGAUGGAAACCUCUAAGAUUGUAUAUAUUUCAUUUUUCCGCUCCAUCCUUUUUUUAUCUUCCUAUAUCAUGAAUGUGAUGGGACGAAAAUGUAGAAAAUGAAAGCAUUUACAUGAGUGCAUAAGUUUUGA